AUGUCCACAUCAUAUGCUCCAUGGACUAACAAAAUCAAAAUGCUAAAGAUAGAGUGGUUUCAUUUCCAACCAGGGUUAGAUGCUGCCUCUGUUUUGCCACGUCCCUUUGAUUCUGCCAGUUGGACACAAGUACAUGCUAGUUUUGGCUCAGACGGAUACACCUGUAUUGUGCUGAGUGGCGGCAAUAUGUUUGUAUAUUUAUACUGUCUUAUAAAGAAAAACUCCAACACAUAA
rnacentral:lncRNA from 1 species